rnacentral:rRNA from 1 species
UGGGGAAUAUUGGACAAUGGGGGCAACCCUGAUCCAGCAAUGUCGCGUGAGUGAUGAAGGCCUUAGGGUUGUAAAGCUCUUUUACCGGGGACGAUGAUGACGGUACCCGGAGAAUAAGCCCCGGCUAACUUCGUGCCAGCAGCCGCGGUAAUACGAAGGGGGCGAGCGUUGUUCGGAGUUACUGGGCGUAAAGGGCGCGUAGGCGGCGAUCCAAGUUAGGCGUGAAAGCCCCGGGCUUAACCUGGGAAUAGCGCUUAAGACUGGAUUGCUUGAGUGCGGGAGAGGUGAGUGGAAUUCCCAGUGUAGAGGUGAAAUUCGUAGAUAUUGGGAAGAACACCAGUGGCGAAGGCGGCUCACUGGCCCGCAACUGACGCUGAGGCGCGAAAGCGUGGGGAGCAAACAGG